CAGAGUUUCAAGUACCCAACACUUGCAUUUGCACCCAUCAGUCUUGCAACAUGUCAAAAGUUCUUCUCCUCUGCUGCAUUCUUUCGCUCCUCUUUGUCAUGAAUCUUGCUGAAGAAGUCCCAAAUGCAGGAGGGUUGGAGGAUUCCAAAGUUACGCUAAAGCACCUUGGACUCAGAUCAAGCGUAGCGCAAUGUGUUAGAGAUUGCCACGCGAGGUGGCCAAACUCCACAGCGAGAUGUCCCUUUUUACAUGGCCAUAGAUGCGCCUGCCUAUGCUAUGUCCCUUGACUCCCUUCUCUCUAAUUAUUAUUAUCAAUGAUAAUUUCCGUAAGUGAGAAGGCCUAUAUAAUAUAUAUGUGACUUCUCGGUUUUUAUACAGAAACUAUUACAUGCUA